UGGGGAAUAUUGCACAAUGGACGAAAGUCUGAUGCAGCAACGCCGCGUGGAGGAUGACACAUUUCGGUGCGUAAACUCCUUUUAUAUAGGAAGAUAAUGACGGUACUAUAUGAAUAAGCACCGGCUAACUCCGUGCCAGCAGCCGCGGUAAUACGGAGGGUGCAAGCGUUACUCGGAAUCACUGGGCGUAAAGAGCGUGUAGGCGGGUAUAUAAGUCAGAAGUGAAAUCCAAUAGCUUAACUAUUGAACUGCUUUUGAAACUGUGUACCUCGAAUGUGGUAGAGGUAGAUGGAAUUUCUGGUGUAGGGGUUAAAUCCGUAGAGAUCAGAAGGAAUACCGAUUGCGAAGGCGAUCUACUGGAACAUUAUUGACGCUGAGACGCGAAAGCGUGGGGAGCAAACA
rnacentral:rRNA from 1 species